rnacentral:rRNA from 1 species
GUAGGGUGCAAGCGUUAAUCGGGAAUUACUGGGGCGUAAAGCGUGCGCAGGCGGUUUUGUAAGUCUGAUGUGAAAUCCCCGGGGCUCAACCUGGGGAAUUGCAUUGGAGACUGCAAGGCUAGAAUCUGGCAGAGGGGGGUAGAAUUCCACGUGUAGCAGUGAAAUGCGUAGAUAUGUGGAGGAACACCGAUGGCGAAGGCAGCCCCCUGGGUCAAGAUUGACGCUCAUGCACGAAAGCGUGGGGAGCAAACAGGAUUAGAUACCCUGGUAGUCCACGCCCUAAACGAUGUCUACUAGUUGUCGGGUCUUAAUUGACUUGGUAACGCAGCUAACGCGUGAAGUAGACCGCCUGGGGAGUACGGUCGCAAGAUUA